GGAGGGCUGGCCGAGCGGCCGAAGGCGGCGGUCUUGAAAACCGCUGGGCGUCCUGCGUCCCGUGGGUUCGAAUCCCACGCCCUCCG
rnacentral:tRNA from 1 species